UACGGAGGGUGCAAACGUUGCUCGGAAUCAUUGGGCGUAAAGCGCACGUAGGUGGCCUGUUAAGUCGGGUGUGAAAGCCCUCGGCUCAACCGAGGAAGUGCAUUCGAAACUAGCAGGCUUGAGUAUGGAAGAGGGUCGUGGAAUUCCCGGUGUAGAGGUGAAAUUCGUAGAUAUCGGGAGGAACACCAGUGGCGAAGGCGGCGACCUGGGCCAAUACUGACACUGAGGUGCGAAAGCGUGGGGAG
rnacentral:rRNA from 1 species